ACCAAAAGGCACACCAUUGUGACUGUGGGUCUUUAAGGUCUUGAAUGUAUUGAUAGUUGCGGGACUACAGCAUUGUAGAGAUAAAUAACACCAUGCGUAUAUUCUAAGAUGAUGAAACCAAGCAAAUUAAAGAGCCUACAGCAAGGAAGGUCUAACCCCCAACCUGACAUACACAAAAGUUCCAACUUGUUUUAUGAUCUACAGAAAAUUCGAGGAACCCAAGCUCCAGAGAUCAGCCUCUCAUUUUUAUCAGAGGACAGCUAACUCCACUGCAAAAGAAAUGAAGAGGUGUUGAAA